AUUAUAUACAACAAAACCAAAUACUCUCUCAGAUACAAACAGGGCAAAAACGAACUUGUCUUCUCCGAGAAGAGAAGAGAAAAAGCCAAAAUACAGCAGAGAAGCAAAGAGCAAGCAUUUCUACUUCUAUCAAACUGUACGAAGCCUCUCAAAGCAGCAGCAUCAGCAGCAGAAGAAGAAGAAUCUGAAGAAAUGGACGAUUACACUAGAGAAAUGAUGGACCUCAAAACCCUCGUUACACGAACCCUAGAGAAGAAAGGCGUUCUCGCUAAGAUCCGAGCUGAACUUAGAGCAAGCGUUUUCGAGGCAAUUGAAGAUGAGGAUAGGGUAAUUGAGAAGGAUGAAACCUUGCCCCCUGCGCUAUUGGGUAGCUGCAAUGAUCAGGCAAAACAACUCCAUAAUUCACCUUCAGGAAGGUUACUAACUGCACUUGUAUGUGAAUAUUUGGAUUGGGCUCAAUUAAACCACACACUUAAGGUGUAUUUGCCAGAGUGUAACUUGCCAAAGGAGUCGUGGAAAUCUGAGCUAAAAGAAUUUAGCAGCAAGAAUGGAUAUGAUCUUAACAGGAAUGGUGACAGUGCUCCGUUACUUUUGGAUGUUCUUGAAGGAUUCUUGAAAUACGAGAACUUCUCUCAAGCAAAGGGUGCUGGAUCUCUGUCCAACACUGAAGCUAGGAAUGUUAGGAAGCCUUCUUCAUCUUCAGUUGCCGGGGGCUUACCACCGUUGGGAAGGCCAGGUCCUGCUGCCCAGUCAUCUGAAGGGCAGGUUCAUCUGUAUCCGGAUAUAGGAAAGAUGAAUACAACUGGAGAUAUGAAAAUGAAGAGCUUUCGCAAGAUGUAAUGCUUGCCUCAUCUGCCUUAGAAAACCUUCAAUUGGACAGAAAAGCUCGGAACCUUGCCACUUCAUGGCGGCAUAGAGGUGAUGGCAUUUCUGAGGAUGAUGGCAGGAUGGAAUAAGAUGAGAUUAUAUCAUCUCCAAAUCACUAAUUAUAUGGGAAUUGAUGAUAUCCUUCAACGUAGAAAUGCAUGUUCUAAUGUACGCUAUGUAUGAUUUAAUAUACAAUAUUGCUUGUAGUAAUUCGUGUGUGCUUCUCAUUUUCCUUUCUUCUUUUUGUUCUCUCCCCUUAUCUCGAUGUCCCUUGUGUGGCUAAGCAAGCGUGUUUCUAAUGCAAUUUUCGUCAUGUUAAUGGUUCUUGUGCUGGCAUAUGAGCAUUUAAAAUUAAGAGUUAAAUGCUCAAAAAUAUAGCUAAAUUAUCAUCUUUUUGCUA